CAUAGAGAAAUCAUAUAUGAAAAUGGAGGUAAAGAUUCAACACCACCUGAGUUGAGAGUAAUUUUCUUAAAGACAAGAUGCAAAAAUGAAAAACUAAAUGGGACGAGAGAAAAAGCAAAAUAUGAUGAAAUUGUGAAGACUAUUAUGAUCAAUCCAUCACUUUCAAACCUUGAGGUUGUUGAAAAACAUUUUAGACAGCAG